UAACGCGAAGAACCUUACCAGGUCUUGACAUACUAUGCAAAUCUAAGAGAUUAGACGUUCCCUUCGGGGACAUGGAUACAGGUGGUGCAUGGUUGUCGUCAGCUCGUGUCGUGAGAUGUUGGGUUAAGUCCCGCAACGAGCGCAACCCUUAUUAUCAGUUGCCAGCAUUAAGUUGGGCACUCUGGUGAGACUGCCGGUGACAAACCGGAGGAAGGUGGGGAUGACGUCAAAUCAUCAUGCCCCUUAUGACCUGGGCUACACACGUGCUACAAUGGAUGGUACAACGAGUUGCGAACUCGCGAGAGUAAGCUAAUCUCUUAAAGCCAUUCUCGGUUCGGAUUGUAGGCUGCAACUCGCCUACAUGAAGUCGGAAUCGCUAGUAAUCGCGGAUCAGC
rnacentral:rRNA from 1 species